UGCUUAACACAUGCAAGUCGAACGGUGAAGGCGGAGCUUGCUCUGCUGGAUCAGUGGCGAACGGGUGAGUAACACGUGAGCAAUCUGCCCCUGACUCUGGGAUAAGCGCUGGAAACGACGUCUAAUACUGGAUACGAGCUGCGAAGGCAUCUUCAGCAGCUGGAAAGAACUUCGGUCAGGGAUGAGCUCGCGGCCUAUCAGCUUGUUGGUGAGGUAAUGGCUCACCAAGGCGUCGACGGGUAGCCGGCCUGAGAGGGUGACCGGCCACACUGGGACUGAGACACGGCCCAGACUCCUACGGGAGGCAGCAGUGGGGAAUAUUGCACAAUGGGCGCAAGCCUGAUGCAGCAACGCCGCGUGAGGGACGACGGCCUUCGGGUUGUAAAGCUCUUUCAGUCGAGAAGAAAAGGCUGCAGUGAAUAACUGUAGUUUAUGACGGUAUCGACAGAAGAAGCACCGGCUAACUACGUG
rnacentral:rRNA from 1 species